AUGAAAGAAGUGGAGGUAGGAAACCUGUCACUCGGAGUGAUCUGUUCAGAUGUUGGCUUCAAACGUGGUGUGAGCUGCUUCUUGAACCUCCACGCGGUGAAGUUGCAAUGGCUCAACUCGGCAAACUCGGUAAAUAUUGCUCUCAUUACUAAGGACAUCUCCCAGGAAAUCUCUGACUUCCGACCAAUUAGUCUUACCCAUGAUGUGGCCAAGCUCGCCAAGACCCUUGCCACUAGGCUGACUCCCCACAUGAAUGAUAUAGUGUUCAUCAGAGUGAUUUUGUCAAGAAGAGAAGCAUAUAUAACAACUUCAUCUUUCGUGAUUGGAUCUCAACACUUCUCUUUUCGGCGUCCUCAAGAGUCUUGCUCAAUGGACUUGCCAGUGAUACUGACCAAGCAUGAUCAUGGGCUUCGGCAGGGUGACCGAGUGUCCCCCUUGCUUUUCAUGCUCGCCACUGACUUGCUGCACCAUGUCCUCAACAAGCCACUUCUCAAGGAAAGCUUCACCCUUUGUCAGGAGGCACAUGCGAUGCUGCUGUUUUUUAUGCCCCCUUCAAGGACUUUCAAUUCCUCGUCACCAUGCUCGCAUCCUUCGUACUGCUACAACAGAAAGAAACACGAGAAGGAUAAACGAUGUAUACCCUCCAAUCGGCCACGCGGCGGUGGUGGCGGUGGCAGCAGCCGCGGCAUCCUCGGCGGCCUUCUUGUCGGCCUCGGCCUUCUCAGCGGCGGCACAGUCGGCGUCGGUCGACAUGGUGAUGACGAAGAUACGUGGGCUGAACCCACGUCCAAGUCGGUAGCCCAUGAUCCGACGUCUCAGAUCGUGGCCCUACCUUUCAAAGACUCUCCGUUCCUGACCGGCAAAAAGAAGCGCAUAGGAUACUGCUACAAUAGAAAGAAACACGAGAAGGAUAAACGAUGUAUACCCUCCAAUCGGCCAUGCGGCGGUGGUGGCGGUGGCAGCAGCCGCGGCAUCCUCGGCGGCCUUCUUGUUGUCCUCGGCCUUCUCAGCGGCGGCACGGUCGGCGUCGGUCGACAUGGUGAUGACGAAGGUGAUGCGGACUUUUACCAGGAUUCACUUCAACAUCUUGAAGACAACACCGCUGGUAAAUUGGCAUCUUGGAGAGGAAAGCAUGUCGCUAUCUCGCGUUGCAUGACCUUGCUCAAGGUGGUCCUUCGGACGGGGUUGAUGGUGACAAUUUUUUGGGAGUCCUUCUGGCUUCUACCACAUUACACCGCAGGACCUUGUGAUGUAGAGACCUACGUGGCCGCGCCCGCGGUGCCGUCCCGCGCACUGCAUGCGGGCGUGCAUGGCGCAUGGUCCGCGACCUCCUCCAACACGUACACCACCCUGCCUCCAGCUGCGUACGGCACCCCAGCUCCAGGCGCAUCGCUCGCGCAUGGUGCGUACGGCGCCCCGCCUUCAAGCACGUCGCCCACGGAUCCAGUCACGUACAACGCCCUGUCUCCAGCCGCAUACUGCGCGUACGACGCUCCACCCCGACUGCGUCCAACGCGUUGA
rnacentral:rRNA from 1 species